UCUUCAUUUCGCGUACUCUCUCGCCUCUCUAACACGCGAGAUAGUGUGCGAAAUGAAGAGA
rfam:Pristionchus pacificus strain PS312 contig3231, whole genome shotgun sequence.